CUAUAGUUUAAUGGAUAAAACAGGAGACUUCUAAGCUCUUGAUCUGGGUUCGAUUCCUAGUAGG
rnacentral:tRNA from 1 species